rnacentral:lncRNA from 1 species
AUGCCUGAUUUUCGUCAAUAUGAUUGUGUGUGUGACAAGGAAAGUAAUGCUCGUGCACAGGACGACACGAGGGCAAGAGCAGAGCUGCACGGAGCUGCCUGCGGGAGGGUAACGGCCUGCAUUAAAUGCUGCGUGUCAAGAUGCAAAGACAAACAGCUGGCAGGAGGGAAGAAAGCUGUAAUUGCAGCCAGCAGGCAACUCCCAGGUCAUCACCUACUACUGAGGCCCUUGGGACGGACAGCUGGAACAAGAGCGUUUUCCCUGGUAGCAAAGAAAUUUGUUUAUCAUCUUCUGGUUACAGCCUAAGGCUAUAGCCAGGAUUCAGUUUCUGAAAGGCAGGUCCACCACCCCAAAUAGGCACCUGCUAUGCUGAGCGUCCAGAGCAGCUUAGCCUCAUCGGCCCAGCUUUUCGAAUGUGUGUAAUCGUUUAAUGCCUGCCGUGCUGUAAGCCCUUUUUCUAAACAGGGAAAGUUAAAACAGGCCAGGCCUUGGGUGCUUUUUGAUAAUUUCACUAGCCACUAGUCCACAUCUGAAGCACCUUAUCUUUUAAAAUUUGGACUUGUAUGGGGUGCUAGAUGGUACCAACCAAACAGUUCUGACAUCUAAACUGCCUUCCUUGGAUCUCAUGUUGAAAGAUUUGGUUACUUGAGUCCAGAGGUCACUCAAGCUUAUGGAGUGGCUAUUCCGCAUGGAAUGUCUUUAAAGACAAAUACACCGGAUAAUCAGAAAUAAUUUGCACAGACUUUGUUACCCUGCUCAGUUACACGCGAGUGCUGCCAUUGCUUCCUCUGUGCAGUUCCUCGAAAGCCUGCGGCUUCGUCUGAGGAGAUAACAGCUACGGGUCUCCUUUCUCAUGAGGUCGACCAGAACUUAGAGGCGUGCCUGACACCCAUCAAUGUCUGGCUUCAGCUGAUGUUCCCCACCUCUCUAUUUUCCAACUAAUUACUGAAUUUCUCAUGCUUAUUUUCUCACAGUAUGUACUCUUUAUGGUGACGUCAAAGAUGAUCUCUUUUAGAAGUGUUAACACUGCAAUGUAUGUUAAAGGGUAAUAUCUAAAUCAAUCCUUGUGUAUUUUGAAAAUUCUACACACAUUAGUCACAUUGAUAUGUGAGAUAUGGCAGGUCCUCAUACAAUGAGAAUAUGCUACCUUCAUUUUUCCAGCAGUGUUAUAAUGAUUUGCCUCAUCAGAAGAAGUAUUUUUUAAGUGGAGUUGUCCUCAGCAUAGUCUUUGAUUAUUGAACACGUGGAGAAGGUGAGCAGUAACCAGCUGCUUCCUGUCGUGCAGGCGAAGUAGGAAACGGUGGGUUCAAAAUGGUAAAAAGGAGACAGUUCUUCACAAAAUGUUAUAGUUAAAUUGCGGCGAUCUUUUCUGCUGAAUGCAUCAUAGUGCACUUGGCAAAUCUAUAGUAACAGGUCUAAGAACAGUAACAAUGAAAGAUUUAUAAGGAUAAUCACAGCAGACAUAGCACUCCUGUCUCGGCUGAGGAUGGAUUCUUGGAAGGCCAGAGUCUAAUUUUAUGAAGUGACUUUUUCACUUAAGUUUAAUAGUUAUGAAAGGCUUUCUUGUGGUAGGAACACUAACUUGAAAGAGUUUCUUCAAGGAGCUGCUACAGUACUAAAUUUGCUUUCAUUUAGGUGGUUUUCCCUUUGGUAUGUUUAUUUUCCAACAGUGACUUGGCUUUAACAGAAGGGAAAAGGAGAUUGUGGAGAUGAACGUGGAAAAAGAUAAAUCUCAAAGCUGCUAUAUUUUUGUGGGCCACCCACUUUGGUCAGGAAGUGGAUUUCAAACGGAGUGCAGUCUCAAGUUGAUAGCUGACUUGGUUAGGGGUAAAAGAUAGUUGUGUUUUGCCUUAUUUUUUAGUAGCUUUACAAAAUAGUUUGUUUUAUGCAAGAGUUAUGAAAUGUUCUUUCAAUUCUAUUCUCUGUCAGGAACCUCUUGUCUCUGUACUAGAUUUAUGCACUCAAUUGCAGCCUUUCUGGUGGGAUACGUAAUUCAGGUUUUAUAACAGAGUGAAAGUACAAAGGCUCAAAUUUUAUUACAGUAGUACCUUUUUGCUGGUCUGUAUGUUAUGCGUUUUUAAACGAAGAAAGGUCAAAAUACUACACCACCCCAGAGAGCGGCACGUGAUGUCUUUAUCUGAAGAAUAGAAAUAAUGUUGUAUGUGUGUAUACCAAGAUUUACUAUAAGGAUAAAGGCAUUAGAGCUGUGAGGUUUUUCCUUAGCAUGACCAAGAUGCUUAGUAACAACUAUCAGAUACUGGUUAACACUCAAACAGUAACUGAUUAAGUUGCCUUACACGUAACAGUUUCAGAAACUGCAGCUUUUUUUUCCCUACNNNNNNNNNNNNNNNNNNCCUACACAACUGGAGAGUCAAAUACAGACAAAACUGCUGAUAAAGUUCUAAAAGAACAAGAAGAAAAUGGAAGAAUUUACUGAUGAGUUUUAUACUCUGAAAAUGCUCAUCUUUGUUUUGAUGCUAAAUCUAGAUCUAGCUCGUAUAUGUGGAAAAAAAACCCUCCUAAAUAUGGCUUUAGUUUUCUGCUUCAUAGUUACAAGCAGAAGAAUAACCAUGAAUCAAUAAUGAUUCAAGGCCUGUAAACGCUCUUCUGGCUCGAUAGCAUACUUAAUCUCAAGCAGGGGCUGUAGUAAACCACAAUUCCCUAGCUGCAAUAAAUGCUGCUGACUCCAGAGCCA